GACGAACGCUGGCGGCGUGCUUAACACAUGCAAGUCGAGCGGUAAGGCCCUUUCGGGGGUACGACGAGCGGCGAACGGGUAGAGUAACACGUGGGUGACCUGCCCUCCAGCUCUGGGAUAAGCCUGGGAAACUAGGGUCUAAUACUGGAUAUGACUCCACGGUGCAUGUCGUGGGGUGGAAAGCCUUGUGCGGCUGAGGAUGGGCCCGCGGCCUAUCAGCUUGUUGGUGGGGUGAUGGCCUACCAAGGCGACGACGGGUAGCCGGCCUGAGAGGGCGACCGGCCACACUGGGACUGAGACACGGCCCAGACUCCUACGGGAGGCAGCAGUGGGGAAUCUUGCGCAAUGGGCGAAAGCCUGACGCAGCGACGCCGCGUGAGGGAUGACGGCCU
rnacentral:rRNA from 1 species